CACAAUGAAAAGAAACCAACCAAUAAGGACAUGUGCCCUCACCACUCACUGCAACUACUGACACCUUGAUCUUGGAUUUCUUAGACUACAGAACUAUACUGGGAGAAGACACAUGACUAUGCAGUCAGAGGAGAGGAGAAUACAUAAUGCACAGCAGAUAGCAUCACAUUGGACCCUCUUCUCAAGUCCCAUGGAAAUGAUGCAGAUAGAGGCCAACAUGAAUCCUGCACACACAGCCAUGUGUUUGGACUUUUGGAGAGUUCCUUAUGAACUAAUAACUGAGGAAGAACAAAACUUGAGCCUGCUUUAAAAAUGGAUUAUGUGAUAGGCAUGCUUACCACCUCAAAAUGGAAUGUUAUAGCACUAUUAAUCCAUUCAGCAGUGACCUUGGAGAUAAAUGUUGAAGAAAAAAUUUUCCCUAUCAGCAGAACUUUGACCAGUGCUGAGGAAAUAAUGAACAUGAUUCACACCCUGAAGGACUUUCCCAGGAAAGAGAAGAAAGAUAAGCACACAAACAAAUGAAAUCAUCGUGAUAUUUGCUACUCAGAGGAAUGUCCCAGACAUUAUAGGCACAUGGAAGAGGAGACUCCAACUCAACAAAGCACAUCUGAGUCAAGAGAUUUAAAGAAGUAGAAAGAGGAAGGAUUGCAGCUGAUUGCAAUAGCCACCCUUUGUUAUAAUUCAGCAUCACAUGGUGAUUCAUGCUAACUGCAUGGUUGAAAGAAGGAAAUUUUGUACCACAAAGUCUUUGGAAAAACAGUACUCCUGAAAUAUAGAUGAAGGAGAUGUUCUCUUCUCCUUAGAGCUUGCAUUCAGAUAACACCAGAGCGCUCAGUUGCUAUGGACUGGUGCUCUUGAAACCCACUGUCCGUACUGUGAAGAAGCCAAGAGCCACAUGAAAUGCACUGGUAGAGGAGCUCUGCCACAGCCCUGGCAAAGGUCCAAGCUGAUAGCCAACAUCAAAUGUUAUGUAAUGAAUGAAGAUUUCUUCACUCUUUUGCCUACAAAUUAACAGUGUUUGCAAAGAGAAGGAUUCCAAAGAGCACUCAGAUCAGAGAGGAAAUUAUGACAGUCAUAGGGAUGCAAAGGACCUAAGGAUAGGUGGGGAAGGACUAGAGUUUGGGCUCAUGGGAACAUAAGGGAAAAGACACAGCAAGAAGAUUGCUGUCUAUGAACCAGGAAGCC